rnacentral:rRNA from 1 species
UACCUACGGGGCGCAGCAGUGGGGAAUAUUGCACAAUGGGGGAAACCCUGAUGCAGCGACGCCGCGUGAGUGAAGAAGUAUUUCGGUAUGUAAAGCUCUAUCAGCAGGGAGGAAAAUGACGGUACCUGAUUAAGAAGCCCCGGCUAACUACGUGCCAGCAGCUGCGGUAAUACGUAGGGGGCAAGCGUUAUCCGGAUUUACUGGGUGUAAAGGGAGCGUAGGCGGUGCAGCAAGUCAGAAGUGAAAGCCCGGGGCUCAACUCCGGGACUGCUUUUGAAACUGUUGAACUAGAUUGCAGGAGAGGG